rnacentral:misc_RNA from 1 species
AGAUGCAAGGCUUCAGGAAGUAGAAAUGAAACUCAAGACCUAUUCAGAGGCAGGUGAGCGCACGGAAGCUUUGGAAUCUGAGCUCUCGUACAUUCGCAAUUCUGCUACUGCACUAAGGGAGACAUUCUAUCUCAAAGACGCUGUUCUUCAGAAAAUAGAGGAGAUUCUAGAAGAUUUGGAGCUUCCGGAGCAUUUCCAUUCA